GGGUCCGGCAUAACUCCGGGAAACUGGGGAUAAUUCCGGAUAACGCACAUAUGCUGGAAUGCUUUAUGCGUAAAAUGGAUUCGUCUGCCCAAGGAUGGUUCUGCGGCCUAUCAGGUAGUAGUGGGUGUAAUGUACCUACUAGCCUACAACGGGUACGGGUUGUGAGAGCAAGAGCCCGGAGAUGGAUUCUGAGACAUGAAUCCAGGCCCUACGGGGCGCAGCAGGCGCGAAAACUUUACAAUGCGGGAAACCGUGAUAAGGGGACACCGAGUGCCAGCAUCAUGUGCUGGCUGUCCAGGUGUGUAAACUACACCUGUUAGCAAGGGCCGGGCAAGACCGGUGCCAGCCGCCGCGGUAACACCGGCGGCCCGAGUGGUGAUCGUGAUUAUUGGGUCUAAAGGGUCCGUAGCCGGUUUGGUCAGUCCUCCGGGAAAUCUGAUAGCUCAACUAUUAGGCUUUCGGGGGAUACUGCCAGACUUGGAACCGGGAGAGGUAAGAGGUACUACAGGGGUAGGAGUGAAAUCUUGUAAUCCCUGUGGGACCACCUGUGGCGAAGGCGUCUUACCAGAACGGGUUCGACCGUGAGGGACGAAAGCUGGGGGCACGAACCGGAUUAGAUACCCGGGUAGUCCCAGCCCUAAACGAUGCUCGCUAGGUGUCAGGCAUGGCGAGACCGUGUCUGGUGCCGCAGGGAAGCCGUGAAGCGAGCCACCUGGGAAGUACGGCCGCAAGGCUGAAACUUAAA
rnacentral:rRNA from 1 species